rnacentral:rRNA from 1 species
UACGUAGGGGGCGAACGUUGUCCGGAAUUACUGGGCGUAAAGGGAGCGUAGGCGGUCGAUUAAGUUGGAUGUGAAAUACCCGGGCUUAACUUGGGGGGUGCAUCCAAUACUGGUUGACUAGAGUACAGGAGAGGAAAGCGGAAUUCCUAGUGUAGCGGUGAAAUGCAUAGAUAUUAGGAGGAACAUCGGUGGCGAAGGCGGCUUUCUGGACUGACACUGACGCUGAGGCUCGAAAGCGUGGGGAGCAAACAGG